rnacentral:rRNA from 1 species
UUACCCACUCCCGGCACGGGGAGGUAGUGACGAAAAAUAACGAUACGGGACUCAUCCGAGGCCCCGUAAUCGGAAUGAGUACACUCUAAACCCUUUNNCGAGGAUCAAUUGGAGGGCAAGUCUGGUGCCAGCAGCCGCGGUAAUUCCAGCUCCAAUAGCGUAUAUUAAAGUUGUUGCGGUUAAAAAGCUCGUAGUCGAAUUUGUGUCUCGUGCCGCCGGUUCAUCGUUCGCGGUGUUAACUGGCGAGUUGCGAGACGUCCUGCCGGUGGGCUUAGCUCGCAAGGGCGGCCCAACUCAAUCCUGCCGCGGUGCUCUUCAUUGAGUGUCGAGGUGGGCCGGCACGUUUACUUUGAACAAAUUAGAGUGCUUAAAGCAGGCUAAAACUUCGCCUGAAUACUGUGUGCAUGGAAUAAUGGAAUAGGACCUCGGUUCUAUUUUGUUGGUUUUCGGAACCCCGAGGUAAUGAUUAAUAGGAACGGAUGGGGGCAUUCGUAUUGCGACGUUAGAGGUGAAAUUCUUGGAUCGUCGCAAGACGGACAGAAGCGAAAGCAUUUGCCAAAAACGCUUUCAUUGAUCAAGAACGAAAGUUAGAGGUUCGAAGGCGAUCAGAUACCGCCCUAGUUCUAACUAUAAACGAUGCCAGCUAGCGAUCCGUCGACGUUCCUCCGAUGACUCGACGGGCAGCUUCCGGGAAACCAAAGCUUUUGGGUUCCGGGGGAAGUAUGGUUGCAAAGCUGAAACUUAAAGGAAUUGACGGAAGGGCACCACCAGGAGUGGAGCCUGCGGCUUAAUUUGACUCAACACGGGAAACCUCACCAGGCCCGGACACCGGAAGGAUUGACAGAUUGAGAGCUCUUUCUUGAUUCGGUGGGUGGUGGUGCAUGGCCGUUCUUAGUUGGUGGAGCGAUUUGUCUGGUUAAUUCCGAUAACGAACGAGACUCUAGCCUGCUAACUAGGCGUAUUUUGACAUCCUAAAGGCCCGCCGGCUCGGGG